rnacentral:rRNA from 1 species
CAAUCUGCCGAGAAGUGGGGGAUAGCUCGCCGAAAGGCGAAUUAAUACCGCCAUGUGAUCAGAGUGGACAUCCAUUCGAAAUCAAAGUCGGGGCAACCUGACGCUUCUUGAGGAGCCCGCGGCCUAUCAGCUAGUUGGUGAGGUAACGGCUCACCAAGGCGAUGACGGGUAGCUGGUCUGAAAGGACGACCAGCCACACUGGGACUGAGACACGGCCCAGACACCUACGGGUGGCAGCAGUCGAGAAUUUUUCUCAAUGGGGGAAACCCUGAAGGAGCGACGCCGCGUGGAGGAUGAAGGUCUUCGGGUUGUAAACUCCUGUCAUUUGGGAACAAGGUGUGCGCGUUAACUGCGCGCGCAUUGAUAGUACCAGAAGAGGAAGGGACGGCUAACUCUGUGCCAGCAGCCGCGGUAAUACAGAGGCCUCAAGCGUUGUUCGGAUUCAUUGGGCGUAAAGGGUGCGUAGGCGGCGCGGUAAGUCGGAUGUGAAAUCUCGGAGCUUAACUUCGAAACUGCAUUCGAUACUGCCGUGCUUGAGGACUGGAGAGGAGACUGGAAUUUACGGUGUAGCGGUGAAAUGCGUAGAUAUCGUAAGGAAGACCAGUGGCGAAGGCGGGUCUCUGGACAGUUCCCGACGCUGAGGCACGAAGGCCAGGGGAGCAAACGGGAUUAGAUACCCCGGUAGUCCUGGCAGUAAACGGUGCACGUUUGGUGUGGGAGGAUUCGACCCCUUCUGCGCCGGAGCUAACGCGUUAAACGUGCCGCCUGGGGAGUACGGUCGCAAGAUUAAAACUCAAAGAAAUUGACGGGGGCCCGCACAAGCGGUGGAGUAUGUGGCUUAAUUCGAUGCAACGCGAAGAACCUUACCUGGCCUUGACAUGCAUCUCUAAGUUGGUGAAAGCCAGCGAGUCCCGAAAGGGACAAUUUGCACAGGUGCUGCAUGGCUGUCGUCAGCUCGUGUCGUGAGAUGUUGGGUUAAGUCCCGCAAACGAAACCCAACCCCUGUGAACUGUUGCAAACCCGA